rnacentral:rRNA from 1 species
CCCUUAGAUGUUCUGGGCUGCACGCGCGCUACACUGAUGCGUUCAACAAGUGUUAAUCUUGCCCGAUAGGGUUGGGUAAUCUUUUGAAAGCGCAUCGUGAUGGGGAUCGACGACUGCAAUUGUUCGUCUUCAACGAGGAAUUCCUAGUAAGCGCAAGUCAUCAGCUUGCACUGAUUACGUCCCUGCCCUUUGUACACACCGCCCGUCGCUCCUACCGAUCGAAGAGUUAGGUGAAUUGUUUUGAUCGAUAAGAUUUGACUAUGGUCAACUCUCGUUGUGAAAUUCUGUGAAUCUGACUGUUUAGAGGGAGGAAAAGUCGUAACA